UCCUCCUCCUCCUCUCUCCCUGGGUCCCGGCCACAUGCGAAAGGGUAGACUAGGACGCUGCAGCUCUGAAAAAAAAAGAGGGGAAAAACGCUCUGCUGCUAUUUCUACAGGCAGGCCCUCCCCUUUAGCUAGUCUGUGCCAAAAGAGGGAGGGAUUUUUUACUACUCCCAGUCCCAGGAUUUUAACCCUCUGCCUGCUCUCACUUCUCCCUGCAAGAUCUGUUCCUCAAUAUCAUGCAACAAGUGGCUUUGCUUUACUCCUACUUCGACAUUGCUGCGCCAUUUGCAAGGGCAUUUUUCAGAUCCUUGUUUUCACGCGCUUUUAGUUUUAUCACGUUUUUCCCUCGCCUGGGUUGUUGGACCUGGGAGUUUUGCGCCGUGCCCUAGCGUUGGUGCAAAGGUUUUUUUUGUUUUGUUUUGUUUUUUUUUCCUUCAGCAUGUUUCUUGAUUGCUCAACAUGUCAGAUUUUUUUUUCCUGGAUGAAUCUGAGUAUGAAGGCUGCAGUUUGUUUUAUGUGCUGUUCGAUUUCAUGUGUCUCGCGCCUGGGUCUUAAAUUGAAUUCCUUAUUGUUUUCCUGUGCUCUUAUCUGCUUUGCCCUCUACCUUCCUAACCCUUUCCAUCUCCAAACCUGUCCCUCUUUUUUGGUUUUUUCUGCCCCACCCUCUCUUCCUCACGUUCCCUCUCUCUCUCUCGCUCGCUCUCGAUCUCGUGGGCAGUCUCCAGUGAAAGGGGAGCAGGAGGGCGGAGCAGCAGCGGGGCUUUUUCUGGGACAGGUGCCAAUUUCAAACAAAAGGCACAAAAAACAAAAAAAAAGGAAAAAAGAGAGUGAUAGAUCCCAACGACAGAGGGAAAAGUGGUGUAUUUAAAGAACUGAUUUGUAGUAAUUAGAUGUGUGUGCAUGUGUAACUAUUCUUCUCUUGCAGGUUUUUUUUUUAAUUGCAUGAGUGAAUAGCAGCAGAGAUCUUGAAUUCUCUCUUUCCCCCCUCUCUCGGCUCUCUUGCUCCCGUGAAGGCAUUUGAGUUUCGAGCGGGGAAAAGAAGGAGGGGUGGGUGGAGUUGGGAAGGGGCACAGGGAGGUGGAGCCUUGUCUCCUCUCCUCCCUGCCGAGUUUUCUGCAUUAUUCAUAUGCCCGGGCCAGCGCUGCGAUCUGACUGGCUGCCUGGCUUAGCAUUCAUCCGACAUUCAGCAGCUCUGUUUGCUAACAUUCCUCAUUCAAAGCCUUGUUAACUGCCAGACGGGAGGAACACGCGACUCCAUGGGAAACCCACAUGGCCUCUCCAUUGUGGCGGCCCUGACAGUCUCAGACAAGGAGCUGGCAGACAGGGGAGAGCGAGAGGAGCUGGUUUGUAAAUAUUAGAAAGCCGUUAGCUCAGGUUAGGGAGGUUACCCAACGCUCAGAGACGGGUUUGGGGUGAAGUGGGCAGAUUAUCGCGGGCAAAUCCCGGGCAGAGGCGCGGACAGACAUUGUAGGAAAGGCGCUGAGGCAGACACGGAGGCUGGUACUUUCUGGGACUCUGAAUGGGUCUGUCGUUGGCGUGCCCGCCUACUUCUUGCAGGGAGUGCAAAGCUGUGUGACUGAAUCCAAGCUCCUUCUCUGCCCUUCUCUACAGAGAGGAUAUGUGGACAUACUGUGUGCAGCCACGGAUGGGUCCAGCACAGCCGCUUCAUCCAGGAUAGCUCAUUGCUGUGGUGUGGGACAGUUACUUCAAAGUCUCAGUGGAGUCAUUACUUGGGGGUGACUUUAUUUUUCCGUGCCAGACAUUGAUAUCAAGCAUCGAGACGAGGAAACCUGAGAGGAGGCGAGUUGACAGACCGCACAGACCUGCUCAGGGAAGAUGACCUGCCAAGCUCAAGUGACAUGCAGAGGAAGUGUUUUGAGUGUAUUUUGUUUUGUUUUUUAAUUACCACACAUUUCACAUAUUAAGCCUCUCCUUUAAAUGUAUAAAAAAAAAAUAAUAAUAAGGAACCUCAUGAUCAGCUGGGGCCUUUCUGCAUGGAUGUCCUCCAUGGGCCUGUGUGGGUUUUUCUGGGUACUUUCCUCCCACAGUGCAUCUUAGGUUGGGUAAAUAGUGAUUAGAAAUGUGUCUGUGGGUGUGGAUGUGAUUGUGAGAUGUUGUGUGUCUGCGUGUGUUAAACCUCUGAUAGAUUGGCAGCUGGGUCAGGAUUUAACAAGUUUAGAAAAAAAACAAAAACGGAUUGAAUACAACAGAAAUAAAAAUGUUUAAUUUCUUAAAAUGUAAAACAAGCACUUUUUUGGACAUGCAGUGUUUUAUCUGUGUAUUAAGUAAGUUUAAGUGCUGCUUCAUGAUGAUGUUUUGCUAAGACUACAGAACUGGCUUUAUUUAAAAUUACAAACAUUUAAUUACGUUACCGUUUUCACGUGACAUUGAAUAUAGCUGCCUGCCAGUACAAUACACUAACAGUACAAGCACAUAGAAGUUCAGCUUUGACCUUUGGAACGAUGACAAAAUCAACUUUAUGAAGAUCCACCUGUUUUUUCUGCCUUUAAUUGGAUGCUAUGGUUUUCAUCGGCACAUUUGUGAUGCUGUUGUUUUAUUACAUUGAAUUGUGGUUGAAUUUUACACACUUAACUCCACCCAUUACAGCUUAUCUGUAGUUAGUUUUUUUUAAGUCUUGUCCUAAUUUUACAAAGGUCAGUUGUCGUUGAGUUUCUGUUCCCACAGGUCGACUGGGUGCGACUGGAGAGCCGUGCGAGAGUUAAACUGUCCUUUGGGGUGAGGUAGUAGGUUGUAUAGUU